rnacentral:lncRNA from 1 species
UUUCCUCUUAGUUUUUUUAAAGGGACAAUUAUUUAUAUAUUUCUGAAAAGUUUCUGUUUUUUCGAUUUAUCCCUCUUAAAAGGCUAAUAUGGAAAAUACCCUUACUACGGUCCAACCUAUUUCUAAUAUACCCAUAGUGUUAAAAUAUGUUAAUUAAUUCUGUUAUUUCUGUAAAAUUACUAUUUUGUCCUUUCAAAUAUACCCUUUCACCAUCAUUGUCUUUUUUAUUUGCUCUUAAAGUCGUGACACAAAAAGUAUUUUGACUUUUAGUCUUUUCUAAUAUACCCCUCUACCGUCACCAACAUUUCUUAUUUGCCCUUAAACUAAGUGUAAAAUUGGCAUAUUAAUUUUUUUUAACUGUGCUAAAUAUUUAACUCACGUUUAACCUAAAUUAACUUAACAGGAGAUAACUGUAGGGAUAUUUUACAGUUGAGUAGACUUUUCUUCAAACGUAUGAGGGGUAUACAAAAGAAUAGAUGUAGACUUUUCUUCAAACGUAGCUCUCCACAUUUCUAAAUAUUUAGCACAGUUAAAAGCAACCAUAUUUAACUUAACCCAAAAGAAAAGAUGUAGACUUUUCUUCAACAUUUAAUCAGCCAGUCAGACUGCAGACCACGUGCAGCAAUUUCUUAAUCUGCCAAUCCCAAAAAUCUGACAUUUGGCCACUCUUUUUCUCAGCAAUUUUUAAAACAUUUUUUUUUAAUUUUAUUUUCAUUGGAAGCUAUACAAGUUAUUCAAACGACAUGAAAAUUUGAAACAAGAUGAAAAUUGUUUGUUCAGGGCUUUGCUGCAACUUAAGGGGUUCGCAAAUUUCUUCCCGACACAGUACUGCAGCAGCAUAUAGGAAAGAUGAAGAAACGUGAAAUUAGCUACUCAAAUCAAAUUGCCCCGGACACCUAAUGAACCAAUAGAAUAUACACUUUCAUGCAAUCACAACCAACGGGAAUCCGCGAUUAAAACUCCUCUGUAAAGCAAUCAACAAAGAUUGAUACAUACCGACCGUCCUUAGUACAAGCGGCAAAGGGCUUGGCGUUCGAGGUCCCAAGUUCGAAUUCCAGUUGAUUGAUAUUUUCAACUAAGCUUAUUUAUAAAAAAAUAAACGAAGUGAGUAAAAUGCUAUCUUUCUCUUAAAAAAAUAUGUGCCCACACAUCUGGGUUGGAGAACCAAUUCGCGCCAAGCUCACAAAUUGAUCAACCUCGAUAGCUCUGCCAACUUGGUUCUUUUUUUUUUUUUUUUUCAGUUUCUUUCACUAAUUCGAGGUGAACACAAGUAGACCUUAUUCAGGCUCGAAAUUAAUUCGAGCCAGCUUGAAUUCGGCUCGAAUUCCAUCAUGUUCGGCUCGUUUGCUCCCCUACUUGCGAUAUGCAUUAGAAUUCUUCUUUUAAUAGGAAAAAGAUAUGUUUUCUUUUUAAGCUAUUACUUCCGUAGAAUAUUGAAAAUUUGAGUACGCAGUACAUAUAUAUAUAACUGGGGAAAAUUGAAACCUCAACUAAUGAAAACAAAACGAAGACCAAGUAAUUGUGGAUUAACCUAGAUAUAAUUCUGCUCAUUCUUCUUCUUCUUCUUUAUCCGAUAAUCGCACUUCUUAUUUUAGAAUUGCUGAGGGGUUUAAAUUCUACCUAUUUCCAAAUAUAUAUCAAGAGGCCGAUUGAAAGAAGCUAUGGAGCGCGAGCCGUAACUAGACUCCAACUUGGAAAAUCGAACGGGUCUCCAAUAAAAAUCGGAUCCACCAAAUUAACAAAUCCAUAUACAAGGAGCUUCGCAACAUCAGCCAGGCUGAAAUUUUUACACACAUAAUUUUUGGACGGCAACAUCAACCGAAUUGAAGCCGAUAAUUCAUGGCACAUGAAUAAGAAGUCAAGGGACUAAAAUAGCAAAUAAGGUUUGAUGCGACUGAGUUUAUUUAUCAUUAUUAACCCAUGCAAUGCACGAGAUAUAACCUUUUUUUCUUUUUUUCUUUUUUCGAAAAAUAGAUAGCAAGCUACCUGCUUCAUUCAUUAAGUAAAAUAAACGAAACGUACAUGAUGGAGAGAGACAGCUAGAGCCUCCUGAAAGAGCCGAAAAAAUACAAGAUCGAUACAAGCUAAGAUAUAACCAUAUAUUACAUAUGAUAAAGUUCGCUUUUAUUGUCAUACAUCCAUACGCAUAUAUAAUAUUUUUAACAGAAUGAUACGAGUUUCGGUCGCGAUUACUUCACAACAUAAGCAUUCUAGUAGAAUAAUACUCACAGCUCGUUACCCCAUGACUUAUUCCAAGUAACCUCCACUCGAAUUUCACCAUACUUCCCAGCAAUAUUCUUCUCAGAUGUUCCGUGGAAGAGCGGAGGGAAGUCUGCAGUUCCAUUUGCAAUCUCAUCGUCGGGAGUGAUUGUAUCGUGAUCGUACAAUUCUGCCCUAACACUGAGGGAGUUUUUGGUUGGAACUGCUACUGUCUUCUUCGUCAGUACAAUGCAUUCCCCAGGGCUUACAUUUAUGUACUCCUCUUUCUUCUUACGAAAGAGCAGAGUCUUCUCCCCAGAAGGAUAAUCGCUAUAAGAAGCAGAAAUAUCUCCAUAAACAUCAGCAGGGUUUUCCCCAUCUCCAUUUAUGAGACGAACAGCAAUAGUCGCCUCCACCGCAUCACUUAACACCGUGUAGCAAACUCUUGCAGAACCGUUCUCUCCUUUAACAUCAGCAUAUAAAAUGCUGUCAAAGACAUUGGCGGUGUCGAAAACAUUCCAUGCGAUUUCCCCAUUACUUACUUCAUCAUCCCAACUCACAGCAUCCCUAUCCAAGAGAUGAAGUUUCACAGUGAAGCUAUCAUAAGCUGUGAUAGCUCUACUGGGGCCAGUUAGUAAAAUUUUGUUGCCCGGAUAGAUGGUUUCGUAACUAUCCCGUUGUCGAUCAUAGAUGAACUGACACCCCAGUCCAUCCGCAACCGUGAUUGUGCCGUAGAGCUCGCCGGGGUUCUCGCCGUCGAUGUUGUCGAUGCACACCCAGAACACCUCCACCAUCCGCCGUCCUUGUGGCAAACACAUAUUGUUGUCCUCAGCCGCCAGCAACGUGCGUGGGGGCCUAGGCUUUCCAAAGUUGAAGAAUAGCAAGAUUCCGAGUGCAGCAGCCGCUUCCUCAGCUAUCGUUAUUUGCAUGUCAUUGGGUUGCGGAAGCCGAAAGUAAUGAGUGGCAUCUGCGUCGGCGCGUAGUAAUGCUUCAGAAAGGGUCCCCCAGCCGUGUUCCAGCGCGGUCAUCCAAGUAGGGGGCGGGGAACCGGGGUUAUAUUGGGUAGCCAGAUGCUCGGAGAUACGACUAAAUCUGAUUGAUUCACAUAUCAUUUGAAUCACGACAAUCAAUUGCUUUGCCCUCUCCUGGCGAUCUUCAGUCCAAGCAAGUUGGUUUACAGCAGUUAUGAGCUGAGGCUGGCCGAGGUUUAUGCGAUCUAUCGAUUGUCUGGCAGCAUUUUGUAAGUCAUUGUAACUACCGCCGAAGCCCAGAAAGUUGGAUUCGGGAUGACCACUUCCAAACUGUAACCACUGAUCAGAAUUCUCCAUUUGGUAGCCGUCCAAGUAAAGGUUAUCUCGCCGAAUCCGAAGCUUAAUCUCAUGUUGUUCGGUGUUUUGUAUGGUUUGCAGUACCACCACACAGAACCUCCUGUUGGUAUCAUUAGGAUCAUCAAUUUCAUUAGGAUCAUGAAGCACAGGGCGACCGUGUGAAGACCUACUAGAUGCCAAUUCGUGGCGCAAGGAUUCAAUGAAUUUCUUGUAAGCCACCCAUUCAUGACCUGUACUAACUUCCACCUUAAAUGUGAACUCCAUUAUGUUCUGUUUUUGAGAAAACAUAAGCAAAAAAAAAAAAAAAAAAAAAAAAAACCUUGUUAGAGAAUACAUGGGUUGAAAAAGGACCUAGCAAUGAAUGAAUCACAAUGAUGGAAUUGAGCUUCUAUGUUUUUAAAAGUACAAGUUAUUAGUGCUUGUAGAUUUUUUAUCAUUGGACUAAAAUAUGUAUAGUUAAGAUGAUGUGAGUGAGAUAGUUUAAAAGAUCUAAAUUAUGUUUAAUGAUAUUGAUCGUUGAUUUGAAAGCUUCAUCAUUGAAAAUAAAUCAGUAGUAAUAAAGUCCAUUUAUUACUGAUAGCAUUUCAGCUCAACUCUCUCUUUAUAUAUUUAUAUAAGUUUGUACUGUAGCAAACUUGAAAAUUUACAUACCUUGGGGCUUACAAACAAAGAAAAGGUAGAGCGGCACAUAUAUUCUAGUGAUUACUUUAGCACGCCGAAAUAGCAGCAGUUGAAAGGUAGUAGCACACUGUCUAAGGGCCUAUUUGGCCUAACUUCUGAAAAAGUGAUUUCUGAAAAAGUGAUUUCGGUUUGGAAAAGUGAUUUCUGUUAAAAGUUGUAGAGCGUUUGGUGAGUCUGAUAUAAAAGUGAUUUUGCUGAAGUGAUUUUAGAAAGUUGUUUGGCAAAUUUUUUUGCUGAAGUGAUUUUGUAAUGCUGUUUCACAAUAGUCAUUUUAAAAACUAAUUAAUAUUACAUGCCAAUAUUUCAAGUUAUCAAUAACUAUUUAAAUAUAAAAAAUUGUAGAAUGAUAAAUAUUCAUUUGGAUAACAAUUUAUCUAAAAUCAUCAAUGAUGCAGCAAUACGAUCGCGAGUUUGGAUAACAAUUAACCACAUUUUUCCAUCCAAUUCCUAUUAAAAUGAGUAUUAGGUCGGUUCCCAGCAUUGACCUCUUCAACACAUAUUUCGCAAAAAAUUUUGAGCAAUAAUGUAUCCCACGUAGCUUUAAUUUUUUUUUUUCUUUCGGGGUAGAUGGUUCUCCUUGUGAUGGAUUUAUCUUUCAACUUUCUAAUAAAAAAAUUAUGUAUUAAAAAAUACAAACAACACAAAUGCUAAACAAAUAAUCGAAAUAUCGCAUACAAACUACACAAUACUACAAAUUAAAUAAAAUUUUAAAAUAUUACACACUACAAACUAAUCAAACAAUCAAACACACAUGCUAAGUUGAAGUGAUUAAUAAGCAACUUGAAGUGAUUAAUCAACCAGUUGGGCUCCAACGGACCACAAGUAUCAUGUACCAUUAAGUGAGAAAUGCGGAGAGAAGUGCCAUAAAAAUAAAAUCUCAUCAAUGGCUGCAACUUUACUGUAAAUGGGAGUUGAAUUGAUGGAUAAGUGAGAAAUUCAACUUUAAUGUAAAUGGCUGCAACUUUAUUAUAUGCUAUCCAACAAUCCCAAUAGGUGGAAGCCACCAUGUUACAUGGCAAAGAGCUGGGUCCAUUGACCAUAACAAACUCACAAUUAAUUAGUAACCUGAAGCAUGAGCACAUCUUAUCUACUCUGAAAAAAAGACAAGAACUGCCACAAGAAGAUAAAACUAAAGCUUUUAAGCCUCAAGAGAAGUGCUCGCAGAGCACAGUGGAGGAAUUUUAGUGAAAAAGUUAAUAGCACUUCCUCCCUCUCUGUCUUUGCCGGAUCCGGCCCCGGUGCGGCUGGACCCACGCCACGCCGGCAACGACCCCGGAUCCGACCUCGGAUCCGGCAAAGACAGAGAGGGAGAGAGAGAAAGCUGUAAAAAAAAAAAAAAAAUAAAGUAUCUUCUUUGGAGGUUCGCCGGAGAGAAGGUUCGCCGGUAAGAAAAGAUUCGCCGGAGAGAGGUGGCGCCGGAGAGGAAGAAGGGAGAGAGAUGGAGGAGAGGAGAGGAAAGUGAAAGUGAAAUUUUUAAAACUUCAAAAACCCCCCAUGUAGUUUCGUGCAUUUUCACUUUGCUACCCUGUGGUUUAAAAUAUAUCAAUUUANACGACCCCGGAUCCGACCUCGGAUCCGGCAAAGACAAAAAAAAAAAAAAAAAAAAAAAAAAAAAAAGAGAGAGAAGAGAGUACCUUCUUUGGAGGUUCGUCGGAGAGGAGGUUCGCCGGAAAGAAAAUAUUCGCCGGAGAGAGGUGGCGCCGGAGAGGAAGAAGGGAGAGAGAUGGAGGAGAGGAGAGGAAAGUGAAAGUGAAAUUUUUAAAACUUCAAAAACCCCCCAUGUAGUUUCGUGCAUUUUCACUUUGCUACCCUGUGGUUUAAAAUAUAUCAAUUUAUCCUCCUGUGGUUUCAUUUUUAUCUUUUCGGAAGCUUUUUCGUUAAUAUUUUGUUAAAUUAUAUACAAAAAACUUCAGAUAACCAUCUAUAUUUAUCGAAUAGUCACUUUAGUAUUCUUUAAUUUUAACUUUGUCACUGAUUUAAAAAAAUAAUAAUAAUAAAAUUGAUAACAAAAAAAUAAAAACGAAACCACAGGGGGGCAAAUUGAUAUGUUUUAAACCACAGAGUAGCAAAGUGAAAAUGCACGAAACCACAAGGGGGUUUUUUGAAGUUUUCCCUUUUUUUUUUAAUGUUGGAGAGAAAAGGUUGGCUGUGGUAAAUGAGAGAGAGAGAGAGAGAGAGAGAGAGGGAGGAGGGUAGUUGCAAGUGUAUUAAAUGAUAAAACGUUAAAGUAGAAUUAUAUUAUUUGUUUAGGGAUAGUUUAGGUAUUUUUAUAAAAAAUUUUAAGUGAGAAAAUUAUUUUUGUGGGUAUCAAUUUGAGAAGCUGCUUUUUGCUGCUUCUGUUUUUAGAGGUUGAAAAUUUAAUUUUCUGGUUCUCAGAAGCAAAAUUAGAUUUUAAAAUUUUUAUUGCCAAACACUCUACUUUUAGACUCAGAAUCACUUUUAAAAAGCUUGGCCAAACACCUCCUAACUCACAAACUUUUUACUUUACAAACUAUAGCUAAACUAGUUAGGAGGAUUGAGAAGGCAGUCAGACUUCUAAAACUAUUACUAAUGUUUUUAAUUCUUUUCGCCUCUGCCUUGCUCUUCACGUACGUCCUUCUCCUUAUUUAUAAGCAGUGGGACAACAGAUUUUAGAGCAUUUCAAAUCCGUGAAAAGAUUUUGGAGAUACUUUUGUGUCUCAAACUUAAUUUGGUAUUAAGACUUAUCUGACGUUAUUAGAUAAAAUAAAAUUAGAAUAAAAAUAUACUUCUACAUUCUCCGAUAAAAUCGUAAAAAAUAUAUCGUAACGUUCGAAAAUAAAUAGAAUAUUUUUUAUCAUACGUUUUUACCGCACAUAACGCAAUCUGUUCAUAAUUCCAAAAGAAAUUUUAAAUGCAUUCCUAGCCAUCAAAAUGUUUUUCAGCAACUUCAAAACCUUUUCUUAGUUUUUCUUUUUCAUCGCAAGCUAUAAAGCUGAUCCAAACACCAUCAAAAUGUUUGUUUAUGACUUCACUGCAGCUAAGGGGUUCGCAAAUUUCUUCCUAGAACACCAUAGAGGAAAGAUGCAAAACAGGGAAUAUGUUUACCAAAAAUCAAGUUGCCUCGGACAAAACUAAUGAACCAAUAGAAUCUACAUUUCCAUUUAAUCACAACCAAUGGGAAUCCGCCGUUAGAACUCUCCCAUAAACCAAUGAACAAAGAUCGGCACGCGUCUUGUUACAUUACAGAAUACCCACAUAUUUGGGUCGAAGAAACAGCUCGAGCCAAGCUCACAAAAUGAUCAACCCCUCUGACUCAAUCAACCUUGUUCAUCUUUCUUGCCUUCCUGCGCUAUGGACAGAUCUCCACAUAGUGGAUGUAAGAGGAAAUUGAAUUACAUUUCCGGGCCCUCCCAAACAAGCCAAGGCUGAGUCAGACAUCCUACUUCCAUGUACUUGAAAUAUUGAGUGAUGCUCAUCUCACUUAACCGCAUUUUGCUUCAUGUACUUCAAACUUCUUAUUUUCACGAAUCAUGAGAACCUUGCACCAUCAAAUUUAUCCGCUUAGCGCUAUCUACCCAGAGGCUAUCGCUUUUAUAACUCAUCUGAAAGUAGACUUGAUAAAUAAAUAGAUCAGAACUGAAGCAAUGCAUGCAGAAAAAAAAUAAAAUAAAAAAGUUGGAGAUUACAUUAUUAGAGAUUAUGGAACUGUACCUCUAUCAUUUGAGUAUCUGGCGAGAACCAUCGCACGAGAACACCGAGAUGAAUCACAGCGGGAAUCAAUUUGAAAAGUAAUGGAGUUGUCACCUGCAUGCAUUCACAAUAUACCAUCAAUACAUUAAGUUAAUUUUCUUCUAACCUCCACCAGAAAAGUAAAAUAUUUCAGAUAAGUACAGAGGUAUUAGAUGGUAAUUACCAAACUUAAAGCAGUAGUUCCCAGAAGUAACAGGUACAAUUUACCCUAUAAAAACAUGUAGCAUGCAGUUGCCCAAUCAAGUUAAACAAGAAAACUCACAAAAUAAGUAUAAAUGUGCUUAAAUUUAACAAAAUACCAAACAAAAUCCAUGUGAACCACUAAAUUGACCGAUCACCUCAUCUAUAUGCAAACCUAAGCUACUUUGGCGAGCUGUGUCAACUGUUGUAGUAAAAUAAUAGAAAUAAAAAUACCUCCACGAGAUGAAGGUUUGAAGCACGACUUAGUAACACAAAUGCAAAUUCCCCUAUCUGGGCCAGUGACAUACCAACCUACAAAAGAAACAGGAGAGUCAAAGUUUAUGACAUGUAUAAAUAGUUUAACAGAAAAGAUAUCACUUGAAAUAAGGCCUACAAGAAGUGAUGUCUUGUGACUGUAGCCAAACCCCUUGACGACUAUAGUGACGACAACCGUCUUAAUGAUGAUAACCAGAAUUACAGAUGCAAGUAAGAUAUCCACGUGGUUCCAAAGAAAAUGAACGUGGAUCAGCAUUCCGAUGCUUGCUAGGAAAAGAGCAGCGAAGAAGUUGCGGAUGGGUUCGAUCUGCAGAAAGAACAAACCUGAAAUAAGAGAACAUAUAAUGGAUUACUAUAUCUGGACUUCCGUUUUAUUUAUUAGAAAAAAGUGGUGAGGUGCACUGUGCACAUUAAAAUACAAAUUUAUCAUAAAAACACAUAAAAGAUUCCCAUCACCAGUAAUACAAAGGUAUAAAACUGACAGUUGUAACUAUUAGCUAGCAAAGCCCAUGAUAUAAAACAUAUUGUUUCUAAGCUCACAAUUCCAUUGAGAUGUCAUUUAGACAUAGGCAUUCGAAAUGAGAGAUCAGACAUUUUGUUGCAUGCCACGUGCCUAAUAAAAGCACAUAUAUUAACCUCCUUGUUUAAAUGCAGCACGUGAUAUAUGAUGUCCCUGAACAAAGCUUAGCACCACAUGACACAAACAACAUAAAAAAUUGAAAAACUUACCUGUUCAAGGGUAUGCUGUGAAAGAUCGGUGGUUGAUAUCAUCACUCCAGCAGCAAAGGAACCCAAUUCAAGACUUAGACCCAACUUGUCACUACACUGAAUCAAUAUAAAUUCUAUAUGAGAAAAAAAAACCAAAAAGCUCGUGCACAUUGAGGAGAACAAUAUAUGCGGUCACAUAAAGUGAAUUCAAACUACUGUUGUCGUCAUUCAACUAGUACAGAGUAAACAGUGGAGGCACCAAGGUUGCCCAUCGAGAAAAAAAUGAAUGACUCAAUGUGUGAGUACGUAUGCCUGUUAUUCAUAACACAGUUUCUAGUCACCAAUGAAGUCAAGUACAUAUUAUUUGAGUAACUUUGAAUGAAACCUACUGCUCCUCUCAGCCACAUGCUGCGAAUAGCUACUAGAGCGUCCAUAAAGAUCACUAGUAUGAAGAAUUGUACAUAGCUAUUUUGAUUAGCUUUGAGUAAAACCUACUAAUCUCAGUGACGUGAUGAAAUCAUAUAUCAGAUUAAUGAGUAAAGAUUAAAUAAA